AGUUUUGGGAAAUCACGAUGUCUAGAAAGCAUCAGCUGACAGGGACAGCUAAGCAAAGCUAACAUCAGGACGUCAUCUGUUAAAAGCCUCCCGUUGUCGGAUACGACAUGAAACUACUCCAGUUAGCUCAAUCAUGUUGUAACUAAGACAUCCGCUGGAAAAAAAAAAAAUUUCACGGACCGUGACCGGAGUUAUUGCAUACACCGCUAACAGCUUAACGGCGUCCCUACGCCCCUAUGUCGCCCCGGUCAAAAUGGUCGCGCAACGAUUACGUCACAUGUAGAGUCCGGUAACUUUACAGGAACCUUCCUCCUACUCCGCUCUCUCAGUGGAGACACGGCGGUUGAGAGGGCCGGUUGAGAGGGCUGGUACUAUUUGUCCCCCAAAUAGUACCAGGAACUUCUUCAGUGGAAACGGGCCUUUUGUUCUGCGUGUCCAUUCUUUACUGAACUCAGAAUAAUACAGUACAUGGCCGAUGUUGAACUCUCCACAACAUGAUUUUAUUCCAUUGUAUCUAAUUUGCUAAACUGAAGACGACUUUAACUUUGAUCAUUUCAGUUUAGAUUUAUUUAUUUUCUUAUAUUGUGAUUCAUGUAUUAUUAUGCCUCUGCUCCAGUGAUAACUGUGGCAGGAGGCAUUGUGCUUUCAGUUUGUCCGUCUGUGCCAUUCUCGUGAAUGUGAUAUCUGAAGAGCACCUUGAAGGAGUUUCCUCAAAUUUGGCACAAACAUUCACCUGGUCUUAAGAAAUAACUGAUUAGAUUUUGGUGGUCAAAGGCCAUGGUCACUGUGACCUUAUAUCUGUCUCAUUUUCAUGAACGCAAUAUUUUGAUAAGGUCACUGUGACCUCACACAACAUGCUUUUGGUCACAACUUAAGAAUCCAUGCUCUAAUUAUGACAAAAUUUCAGACAACUGUCUGAUAGGAUAAAAAGUUCAAAGGUCAACUUCACUGUGACAUCAUAAUGUUCUGCAUACAACACUUCCCUGGCCAUUAUUCAGCAUCAUAAUUCAGGAACAGAAGGUAAGACAUUUGCUCAGAUACUGAAUUGGUGACACUAAUCUUGGGUGUCCACCUUGAAACUGUGCUGAUUAUUUAGAUCCUCUGUGCUGUCGGGGGGAAGAUGUGUGUGAAGCAUCCAUGUUUUCACAGACAUGGAUAUAAACUGUGAGUGCAAAUAAACUGUUUCACAGAGGCAUACAACCAUGAAGAGGUAAUUCUAGUUUUUAACAAAAUGUGCCACAGUGUCUGUCUUUUUAAAUCUAACACAUAUGUAGAUAAGAUAACAGCUCAUUAUACUGUAUUAACUCAAGUCCAAGUCAGAUGGAUGGAUGGAUGGAUGGAUGGAUGGACGGACUUCUGCUCAAACCUGCUUUAUCUGUACUGGUCCUAUGUUUUAUUUUUGUUGUUGUUGUUAUCAGAGAAGCCCAGUGACAUCACCAUCCCCAUCACUGCAGCAGUGGCUGUUCUCAUCCUCGUUGUUUCCACUGGAUUCAUCGUUUACAAAAAGAGGAGAGCCAAACUUCCCUCAUCUCCUCCUGACAGCAGCUCUGAGCUCUCUGAGAAACUCAAUCCAGAAACCUGACUGACAAAAAGAGUAAACACUUUGAUAUGUUAUAUCAUAACUUUACAAAGCUUUACAAAAAACGACUGAAAGAUGGCUUCCUGCAAUCAGAAUGAAGUGGUUAUGAUUCAUAUGCUUGAUAAUCAAACAUUUAAUAUAAUAGAUUUAUUCCAGAUCACACAUUUUUAAUUUUUUUUUUUUUUUAAUCUUUAUUUUCUCACUUAUUUUACUGUGAUGCAACAAAGUGUUUCCUGUUUCUAAGAAUGCUAAAUAAAUGUUUUUGAUUAUAUUAUAAUAUUUUAUGGCUUCAGGACAAAUGAAUCACAGGUUUCUGUAAACAUGUAGAGACUGAAUGCAGUGCUGAAAAUCACCUCUUGUGGUGGAUUAGACAGGACAGGUGAAGAGACAUGAUUCAUGAUAAGUUUACCACAGGGGUUGCUAACUUAUAGCCACUGCUAAGACUGGAGGAACCACAUAGACAGUGAUGGUGGCUGGACAGCUGAGUGGACCACGGCAGUCAUGAAGUUAUUAAGUCAGUUGGGCCAGCUACUGUAGUUUAGCCUGAGCAGAUAUGAUGGAGAUAUAAGGCAGCAGAGUUUCAGCUCUUUGCUUAGGUGAGUGAAGGAUUUAAAGGCAGCUUAAAGAUACAUUAGGUCAGGGUCAGAGAAAGGUGUCGCCUGUCAGAGGGCUCAGAUUUAUAACGCCACAGCUAACCUAGGACCUAAUGAAAGCUCAAACAUCAUUUAACAUGGAUAUAGGGCUUCCAUAGGAAUCCACACAACCUCUGGCACAUGUUCCUGUGUACUGAUAACCAUAAAUGAAUGUGAAAAUCAAAUGUAUUGCUCUUUCUUUUGGUGCUGAUGUUUUGCUUUUCAAUAAAGUCUCCAAUUUUCAAAA